rnacentral:ncRNA from 1 species
GUCACCACGCGCGGCGAUAGAUCCUCUGCAGACGACUGACAUGACCAAGCGGGUCGUGUAAGCGGUCAAGUAGCCUAGUUGUUACGAGUCGCUGAGCGUCACCCGAUCCUUGGCUCGAUUUGU